CAAGCAUUUCUACUGGACCAUUCUGGAGAAAACUCACAUUCCAUGUGCAAGAUUUGAAAUCCAAUACUGGAUUUAGCAGGCGCUUGAUGAGAAGGUGCCGUGGACACAGAAGCUGUGUUCUUUCAAUGAACACUACCAUCGUUUCAAUGAACAAUACCAUCAGGACAGAAAUGUUUUAUUGUAGGAUAAGUAAAUACUUCAAAAUGAGGAGGGCCUGUCACAGCAAGACUGACUGGGUUGACAUACAGUGGAAAGGAGCUGUGAUGAAACAUCCAGUUCAGCAAGACAACACUAGCUGUGGAGUCAUUGUCAUUAUGAUGGCAAAGAGACUGAUGGAGGCAUUUCCACAAAUGCCAACAAUCAUUUUUGGAACAACCAAAAAAGACAUGGCGAGUGAGCUAAACAACCUUGCUUUAGAAAUUCUCAGAGCUUCAGUGUUUAAUUCAGAGACCACAUGUGCAAUGUGCUCUGCAACUACACCACCAGGU